UCCUUUACUUCUCUUUUUCUUUGCACCGUACCCUAAGCCCGACGCCGACCCCCAUUCCUCCUUCUCGGUUUCUUCUUCCCGAGCCUCCUCAUCUUCCCAAAUCGACGGCGUUUCCUCUCCUCCCCUCGCGUACAAAAUCGUUGGCGGAAGCCUCGAGGCGAAGCCUCCUCUUCCCCGAGCCCAAUCGUCUUCCUCUCGAUCUUGCGGCGCUGCCCAAGAACCAAUCGACCACCUGCCCAAGACGAGAAGUGAGCAACACUGAGCCCUAGCUUCCUCCCUGAGCCGAUGUCGCCUCCUUGUCGGAGGCCAGAUCGGAGACUUUACCGGUCGAGGGAGAGCCGUCGUCCUCAUGUGCCCUAGUCCCGAAUCACCAUCGACCAUUUCUGGUUUUCCGAUCAGAGGCGCCAUCUUUGUAUGAAACAAUUUUUGGCCAAUAAGGGAGGGUCCGAGCCCUAGUUUGGCCGGUGUGCUGGUGUUGAGGACCCUAGCAGCAGGGACUUUCCUACUGGAUUUUGGCCAUUGCAGUAGGUCAGAGGACCUUAGAGGUAGUGAAGAUUGUUUGGGCCAGAUCUGCGAUUUCUGGAGAGGAAGCCAAAACAAGUGUUGUGGAGGUAAGGAAGUCUGUGUACAGGGUUUAGGAGUUUUACAUGCUUCGUGUUUGAUUUCUUUUCAGUUUUAGGAUAUCUAGUUGUUUUCAAUGACCAUUGUAGCUGCGGCUAGAAAUUCUGGAAGUGAGUUCUUCAGGAUUAGAUCAGUGGCUGAGACAUCGGAUUUGGGUAAGGUUUUGAGUUAAUUUAUGUUGUGUUGACUUGUUAGAAAUGAAUUUGCUGCAUGGAUCAAUUAAAGAAUUGAUAAUGCUGGGUUAAACCUAACUCAAUCAUCUAAUUGAUAUUAGAUAAGAGUUAGGCGGUAAUUAGGGUUAAACUAGUUUAACUCAGAUGGGUGGUUAAUUAAUGGUAGUACAUUGAUUAGGGUUUUUCCCUAACUAGUGUUGGGGAUGUAUUUAGCUAAUUAAUUCAAAGGAACUUAGCUAAAUAAAAUACUUUGACAUAGGACUCUGAUUUGUGACGAGCUACCUUACGUGGGAUUACCUUUGGCACGCACUAUAUUGGAGGCAGGUACCUUGACUUAUCUUUAAAUAUUGUCAUUUGAUAUGCAUAAUAGUUUUUAACAAGUAGUAAUGAUUAUGUUCAUAUCUGUAUCGGUUUAUCACUACUAGUUACCUGUUGCAUGCUUGUUUUUACUUGCCUGUUUUACAUUUAUAUCUGCUUGAUUAUAUAUAUGCUCAUAGAGGUGUGACAAACCAUGCCUUAUAAUACAUCGAACUAGACAUUUAUCAUAUCUAACAUGUGUACCUAGAUCUUCAUAUUUGAUCCAUCUAUUUUUGGUACAGGUUUUAUGGAGGUAGAUAUGACCAGGAUUAUCAUGCUUAGUGUCAUGCACCAUCUUACAUGAUUGCAUGCUGAGCAAUUGGUAGCCCUAUUAUUGUUGAGCUCAUC